GGUUCUGGUCAGCUUUGCAGGGUUAGCAGUCAGCUUGUGCACACUAGAGCCGCUGUGCAAACCCAUGCAAAACUGACUGUGACU
rfam:Scleropages formosus scaffold5132, whole genome shotgun sequence.